rnacentral:rRNA from 1 species
CCUACGGGAGUCAGCAGUAGGGAAUCUUUCACAAUGGGCGAAAGCCUGAUGCAGCAACGCCGCGUGCAGGAUGAAGGCCUUCGGGUUGUAAACUGCUUUUAUAAGCGAGAAAUAUGAUGGUAACUUUUGAAUAAGGAUCGGCUAACUACGUGCCAGCACCCGCGGUGAUACGUAGGAUCCGAGCAUUAUCCGGAGUGACUGGGUGUAAAGAGUUGCGUAGGUUGCAUAAUAAGUAGCUAGUGAAAUCUGGUGGCUCAACCAUUCAGACUAUUAGCUAAACUGUUAAGCUUGUGUACGUUAGAGGUAACUGGAAUUUGUAGUGUAGGAGUGAAAUCCGUAGAUAUUAGAAAGAACACCGAUAGCGUAGGCAGGUUACUGAGACGGUUCUGACACUGAGGCACGAAAGCGUAGGGAGCAAACGGGAUUAGAUACCCCAGUAGUC